rnacentral:rRNA from 1 species
AGUGAGCGCUGGCGGUAGGCCUAACACAUGCAAGUCGAACGGCAGCACAGUAAGAGCUUGCUCUUACGGGUGGCGAGUGGCGGACGGGUGAGGAAUACAUCGGAAUCUUCUUUUUCGUGGGUGAUAACGUAGGGAAACUUACGCUAAUACCGCAUACGACCUACGGGUGAAAGCAGUGGAUCUUCGGACCUUGCGCGACUGAAUGAGACGAUGCCGGAUUAGCUAGUUGGCGGGGUAAAGGCCCACCAAGGCGACGAUCCGUAGCUGGUCUGAGAGGAUGAUCAGCCACACUGGAACUGAGACACGGUCCAGACUCCUACGGGAGGCAGCAGUGGGGAAUAUUGGACAAUGGGCGCAAGCCUGAUCCAGCCAUACCGCGUGGGUGAAGAAGGCCUUCGGGUUGUAAAGCCCUUUUGUUGGGAAAGAAAAGCAGCAGGUUAAUACCCCGCUGUUCUGACGGUACCCAAAGAAUAAGCACCGGCUAACUUCGUG